rnacentral:rRNA from 1 species
UACGGAGGGUGCAAGCAUUGAUCGGAAUUACUGGGCGUAAAGGGCGCGUAGGCGGUGAGAUAAGUCAGAUGUGAAAUUCCGGGGCUCGACCCCGGAGCUGCAUUUGAAACUGUUUCGCUAGAGGUUAGUUAGGGAAAACGGAAUUCCACGUGUAGCGGUGAAAUGCGUAGAUAUGUGGAAGAACACCAGUGGUGAAGACGGUUUUCUGGGCUAAUACUGACGCUGAGGCGCGAAAGCAAGGGGAGCAAACAGG